GCCGGCGUAGCUCAAUGGCAGAGCGCUUGCUUCCCAAGCAAGAUACGCGGGUCCGAUUCCCGUCGCCGGCU
rnacentral:tRNA from 1 species